GACGAAGGAUGCAAGCGUUAUCCGGAUUCAUUGGGCUUAAAGGGCGCGUAGGCGGUCUUAUAAGUCAGUGGUGAAAUCCUGUCGCUUAACGAUAGAAUUGCCAUUGAUACUGUAGGACUUGAGUACAGUUGCCGUUGGCGGAAUAUGACAUGUAGUGGUGAAAUACAUAGAUAUGUCAUAGAACACCGAUUGCGAAGGCAGAUGACGAAGCUGUAACUGACACUGAGGCUCGAAAGUGUGGGGAUCAAACAGG
rnacentral:rRNA from 1 species